AUCCGAGUGCAAGGGUUUUACGUUUCCAGUGAAGGUUCGCCUGAGGCAACGUUUUUGCUAGUUGAAAACUACAAACCAAUGACCGCUCUAGUUGGUCUUCGGAUCGGCUGGGAAUUUUUGAAGAACUUGACUCCUAACUGCAACAGAUAGU
rfam:Trichophyton benhamiae CBS 112371 contig00476.0, whole genome shotgun sequence.